CCCAACCAUGACCCUAGUCCUACAACCUGAACUCUGCCUUAUCAUAAAGCCCAUCCAAUUCAGUUUUCUUUUGUAGUCCCUGGAAUUAACCCUUGCAAGUCUUAUUACUGGUAUCCUCCUGGUAAACCCUGGCACCUGAGGUUACAGCUGAAAAAUAUUGCCUAGGGGAAAAAAGUCAUUCCUGAAAUUGUCAUAUAGCCAGAAGCUUUUGGUUUAGGGCAACACGGACAGACAGAAGAACUAUUUUCACCUUGGGCCAGCUAAUUCUAAUUCAAUUACCUCCCACUAGAUGUACAGGAAUAUUUGGUGUAACACCUGCCUUUGUUUUAUUUUUCAUGGAAAACAGGCUGAUAUCUCCUCUUUCAGAGAGGGUUUUUUUUUUUUUUUUUUCCCUCUCCCUCUGCCUUUAUCAUCAUCUCUUUCACUCUUUUGUAGGAAGAAGAUGCCCUCCCACCACAGAACAGCAGUCUGGAGACAGGAGAAGAGGCUCUGCUGCAGGCCAACUUGUUCCAUUUCCUUUAUGUCUUUAUGUUGCACUCAAGAGAUGAACCGUCAUGAAGAUUUUGGGUCCAAAGAACGAAAAUGAAGCUGGUGAACAGUCUAGAGAAUAAGCCUUAUGAAGAGCUGCUGAGGGAGCUGUGAGGGAGCCCCUGAUUACCAAUGACCUAUGUAUUCCUGUCAGUGUGAUCAACAGUCACCUGAAAUCAACAACUCACGACUUAAUUAAACAGACUUUAGAUAUAACACUGGAAGAUUCUAGGCUACUUGAAAACAACAGAGAGUUAACAGGUGGAAAACAACCCAGUGCCCUUAGCAUUCAUUGGGGCAAGAUCAAAUUUAAUUUUGGGCUUUGCUGCCACAAAGAAGUACACAAAUAACAGAGUUCUUAUGAGAAGAGAAGAAGCUGGGAUAGUAAGGCAGGGCAGGGAAAUCUGGCCUUGCUGUUCCCACACAGAUGAAGGGAGAGCAGAGACGGAAAACUCUACUCACUGCAUUAGUGGAAGUAGCUGUUCUGACUGCAUCAGUAGUGGUUUCUCUAGACACCUUAAUAUAUC
rnacentral:lncRNA from 1 species